AUAUCAGUCAAAUACACAUCUGCUUUGCUCAUCACUGUAACAUAGUAUCCACAGAGGAAAGCUAGUGAAUAUUUGUUAGAUAAACAUGAUUUGAAAUCUGGCUACUGGAAAGUACAACUAAAAUCUAAAGUUUCCCGAAUUUAGGAAUAAAUUCAGAUUGAACGUAAUUCUGAAAGAUACUUUAUUUUCACUAUGAAAUAGUUCAACCUCACAGAGGUAAGGAUGGGUAGGAGAAGGGAGAGAAGCUAUAAACAAAUAAAUGAGGUUCAUAGGAGAAAAUAGCUCCUCUGAGGGGAGCCACAUGCUCUGAUACCCAUGGCAGCCCAGCCACAUGAGGAAGCAGCCUAAAAUUAGCAGGAUGGGCAAGCCCAGGAAGGGAAAGCCACAGCAGCUUUCCCGGCACUCAACAAGUGAGGUGAAGGGCCAGGAGCCCCGGUGGAACCCUCCUGUGGAGAAACACUGCAGUUUGUGCCAGGGGGUGGGGGAUGCGUAAUGUGUAGCAAGGGAGAAGAGAACCUCUUCUGUUGGGAGUACUAACUGAUGAUUCGUCCUAAAGGGAAAUUGUCAUUGCGUCUAGUUUCCAUUCGGAGUGAGUACUUAUAACUUAUUAUUCUAAGAUCAUUCAAUUACAGUGACAAUUCAGUGCUACAUCUAAUUAUAUGAUUAAUAAAUGCUUUUCAGUAACAACAAUUUUUACUUAAUGAUAAUCUUGGAUAUGGCCUGAUAGAAUGAAGUGCACUCAUUUAGGAUAAUAUUAGAGAACUUAUAUAGUACAUAUCCUAAGGAUUUAGAAAAUAAUUAAUGAAGUAAGAUGUAGCGUAUCUAGAACAGUGCCUGGCAGGUAUUAGAUUUUUAGUAAAUAGCUGUAUUUUCCUCCAAUGUUAAACAUUUGCUCCCAGUGUUCAACAUUUACUCAUAUUAUAAAACACAGAGUAGAUCUGAAGAAAACCUUAACCUAGCAGAGUGCUUUGAACAUACUAGUUACUCAAUAAAUGCAUUUCAAAACAGGAAAGAGAUAUAGUCAUGGAUGUGUGCGUUUUACAGCUGUGAUAUUAUUUUAUAAAGGCUAUGGAAAAUAGUUUCAUAUGCUGGACAAGGAGGCACCAAUUAUAAUUUCAAGUUGGAGGAAAGAGAGUUUGAGCUGAUAUCAGCCACAAUCUUGGAUAACUGACUUUCUCUGGUCUUCAAUUAUCUACAACUCCAAGAUAAGAAUGAUAGGCUGGAUCAUAGCUAAAAUGUCAUCCCUAUUGUUCAUAUUGUUGAAAUAUCAUAUGGCAAGGUCUCCGAGAUACACCUACCUUGUAUUUAUUUCAUGCUAAAGGUUUGCACAUUGAAUUACAGGAUUGCUUCUUAGGGAAGUCCAUUUGGCUUACUGUCAUAAAACUUGCAGCUUGUAAUUACCUUGAUGAAAUCACCAGUUUUCAUCGUCUGGGCCUCAACUAUCCAAGCUCAGAAACCCAACUUGUUUUUCAAAAAUUCUUACAAUGAUGCAAUUCUUUAGCAACGUAUUUUACAUUAACCAAACUUCUGAAAGAGUAAUGGACAUCCACAGUUCCAAUUUGUUAAUUUACAAUGAGAAAGAUGGCUUUAGUGCAAACCAAAUGUCAUAUUGUCCUAUAAAUUUUUUUUCUAUAAAGAAGUCUAUUAAAAAAAAACUCAAUGGAAAUCAGAAUGCUACUGCAUGAGCAUGAAUUGGAACAUGGUAAAUAAUCAGUCAUGGCAUCUGGCAAUGUUGGCCUGGGGCUGCCAGCACCACGAUCAGGAGCAGAUAGGGCCCUCUUGGAUCAACACUGCUUGAUUCUUCUCUAAUUUCCCUUUCUUACUUGUCAUUCUGAUUACCUCUUCAGGUAUAGCUAUAGAUCUCAAUAUAGAUACAGACACACAUAUGUAUAUUUAUAUACAUGCAUAUAUUUGAUAAUAGGUAGGUAGGUGGAUAAAUAGAUGAUAGCUAGAUACCAUCAGUUAGGCUACAGCCAAAUUUUGCUCCCUUUUUUUCUACUGGUGUCCUUGAAGAUUUUUUUUUCUGCUAUGGGGGCAACUUUUAUUAUUCUUUCUCUUUAUAAAUAUAAUACACACUUAUUAGAAGUUAUUUAAAAGUCCAACUAAGAACAAAUAUGAGAGAAAAAUAUCCCAGAGUUCCACAACCUAGUUAUAACCAUUAACAAUUUAGAAUAUUGUACUCCAGAAUUUUAAAAACUA